AAACUAACAAGGAUUCCCCUAGUAACUGCGAGUGAAGCGGGAAAAGCUCAAAUUUAAAAUCUGGUAGCCUUUGGUUGCCCGAGUUGUAGUCUGGAGAAGCGUCUUCCGCGCUGGACCGUGUACAAGUCUCUUGGAACAGAGCGUCAUAGAGGGUGAGAAUCCCGUCUUUGACACGGACUACCAGUGCUUUGUGAUGCGCUCUCAAAGAGUCGAGUUGUUUGGGAAUGCAGCUCAAAAUGGGUGGUAAAUUCCAUCUAAAGCUAAAUAUUGGCGAGAGACCGAUAGCGAACAAGUACCGUGAGGGAAAGAUGAAAAGCACUUUGGAAAGAGAGUUAAACAGUACGUGAAAUUGCUGAAAGGGAAACGCUUGAAGUCAGUCGCGUCUUCUAGUACUCAGCCUUCCUUUUGGUUGGUGCAUUUACUAGUUGACGGGCCAGCAUCAGUUUUGGCUGCGGGAUAAAGGUUAGAGGAAUGUGGCACCUUCGGGUGUGUUAUAGCCUCUGGUCAUAUACCGUGGCUGGGACUGAGGAUCUCAGCACGCCUUUAUGGCGGGGGUUCGCCCACCUUCGUGCUUAGGAUGCUGGCGUAAUGGCUUUAACGAC
rnacentral:rRNA from 1 species